rnacentral:rRNA from 1 species
UGAAGAGUUGAUCCUUGCUCAGGACGAACGCUGGCGGCGUGCCUAAUACAUGCAAGUCGAGCGAAUCGAUGGGAGCUUGCUCCCUGAGAUUAGCGGCGGACGGGUGAGUAACACGUGGGCAACCUGCCUAUAAGACUGGGAUAACUUCGGGAAACCGGAGCUAAUACCGGAUACGUUCUUUUCUCGCAUGAGAGAAGAUGGAAAGACGGUUUACGCUGUCACNUAUAGAUGGGCCCGCGGCGCAUUAGCUAGUUGGUGAGGUAAUGGCUCACCAAGGCGACGAUGCGUAGCCGANCCUGAGAGGGUGAUCGGCCACACUGGGACUGAGACACGGCCCAGACUCCUACGGGAGGCAGCAGUAGGGAAUCUUCCGCAAUGGACGAAAGUCUGACGGAGCAACGCCGCGUGAACGAAGAAGGCCUUCGGGUCGUAAAGUUCUGUUGUUAGGGAAGAACAAGUACCAGAGUAACUGCUGUACCUUACGUACCGACCAGAAAGCCACGC